ensembl:lncRNA
GCUAAAAAUAUGAUCAGGAAAUACUUUUCAGCACUGUGCUGUUUUAGGUCCCUCUGGGCUCAAGGGCGCCUUUGUCUCUGCCACAGAAAAUCCACAUUUAUCAAAACCAAAGUUGCUUUAUCAAGCGGGCUCAUGUUCUGUGGCAGGAAACUGGAGCCUGCCCCGUGGCCCUGUGGCACUUUAAUUUAGGGCCUGAUUUGUGUGCAGCAUAGACAGGGAGCCCCGGAGCCACCCCAGGCCACUCAGGACUUGGGCACCCGGUGGGAAGGGAAGGAGAACUGGGCUUGGUCCCCAGUCCCACAGGACCAGAGGUGGCGGCGAAGCAAGGGGCCCCCAGCUGGUCCCACCAGGUGGUCCCUGGCGUUCCCACCCCAUGGGUGCAGCCAGAGGUCCGGCCCCCAGUAAACCUCCCCAGUCCAGGGGAGAGAAGCAGGACAGGGGAGAGGGGACAGCACCUGUGGAUCCCCCACCCGUGAGGCUGUGUGGGGCAGGCAGGGGACGGCACAGCCCGACCCGCUCCUCACCGUGUGCACUCGCAGCCCCAUGCCUGCCACCCAUGCAGGACCUCAGCUCCUCCUGGGGAGGAGCCAGUGGGGCUUGGCAUUUACUUCCCCAGAGGCGAUGUUGCUUGGUGCUGAGGAAAGAGGGAGGCAGCAGAUGCUGCAGGUGGCACAGGCGCUGGUGCUCCUGCCCUCGGGGGAUGGAGACCCGAGCCUCCUGAGCACUGGCUCAUCCCCUCUGCCUCGGCAGGGGCUGCACAUGGGGCCAGGGUGACUGGGCUCCAGGAGGCAUCCUGGGCCCUGUAGAGACAGUCCCGUCUGUUCUGCUUCCCUCGUGGUCCCUGGAGCUAGCUCGGCUGACAGUUGUGCUUCAGAGGCAUUUUUAACGACAUGGAAAAACCCUAAUCUCAUUACAACAGUAAAACUGGCUUUCAAAAGGUAAUGUUCCAAGUAGCUCACAAGGUAUGACCUCAACUGUCCCACGAACCUGCAUGCUAGACAAAGGAAAGAAGGGGCCCUAAGGCCUGGUACCUGCAGGGAACAGGCCACGUGGGGUCCACCUUGAUGUUGGGGUUGGUUAUGAUCUUUAUGUUCUGAUUCUCUGUGAUUUAUUUUUUUGCAAUGCCAGUCCUGAGCUGUGUAAGGGUGGGAACAUUGAGCCUGAGCCACACCUGGGGGGUGGCCCCCAAAGAUUCGGUUUGGAGCUGUGAAGGCCCCCGAGGCCACCUAAGGAGCCGCACAUGGGCCCUAGGGCGCAAAGCUGUGUGGAAAUCCAGUGUCCAUAAGGCACCCUGGGGCCUGUCCCCUGCAGGCACCAGGCCUGAGGGUCACCUCGGAGCCCCGCAGACACCUGCGAGGCUGCCCAUGCUUGUGGGAUGAAUGUCACUGUGGCGGCCUCUCGGAGGCCGGGCCCCGCUUUCUCCAGAGUUCUGGGGAGCAGGCCACUGUGGGGCUGUCACGGUCCCCUCCCCUCAGACUCUGGGUGUGGCUCAGGGCAGGUGUCCAGGCCUUCUUCCUCCUUGCCCACCCAGUUCUCUACCCUCACCUCCCGGAGGGCCCUGCUGUCCUCCAGGUGGGUGCAGAGGGAGGAGGCAGACAAAUCUGCCACAUGCUGUGUUUUGCAGGACACCGCCUGGCACCAGGGCAAGCAAGCUCUGCUCCAGUGGCUCACCGCUGCCCAUGCCUGGCCACUGUGGUGGGCACAUAGCCAUCAGGGCAUCCUGCCACCACUAGCUCCUGUGCCUGGAGCCUCCCAUCAGAGCUGGGCUGAGCUGUGGAUCCUUCUUACUCUGCCACUGAUGAGCGAGCAGCGUG